GACGAACGCUGGCGGCGUGCUUAACACAUGCAAGUCGAACGGUGACCCAGGGCUUGCCCUGGUGAUCAGUGGCGAACGGGUGAGUAACACGUGGGCAACCUGCCCCCUGACUUCGGGAUAACUCCUCGAAAGAGGAGCUAAUACCGGAUACGACCACUUCGGACAUCCGAUGGUGGUGGAAAGUUUUUUCGGUCAGGGAUGGGCCCGCGGCCUAUCAGCUAGUUGGUGGGGUAAUGGCCUACCAAGGCGACGACGGGUAGCCGGCCUGAGAGGGCGACCGGCCACACUGGGACUGAGACACGGCCCAGACUCCUACGGGAGGCAGCAGUGGGGAAUAUUGCGCAAUGGGCGAAAGCCUGACGCAGCGACGCCGCGUGAGGGAUGAAGGCCUCGGUGUAACUCUUUCAGCAGGACGAAGCGAAAGUGACGGUACCUGCAGAAGAAGACACCGGCUAACUACGUAGCCAGCAGCCGCGGUAAU
rnacentral:rRNA from 1 species